rnacentral:sRNA from 1 species
UCAAAGUCACAAAGAUAAUAUUUUAUCUGAACUUACAAAACUGAUGUUGUACUGUAGCAUGUAAAGUUUAAUAUGUUUUAUAACCAAGCAAACAUAUGCAUUUCGAAGUAAGUACAGUGUUCAGUUUUAUUGAAUUCUGGGGAAAACUCCUGGAAUUUAAUUGUUCGGAUAGGAGCCUUAUGCGACUUGAUAUUUACAUCCCGCAGACAUAUACAAUUCAGCACUUGUGGCAAUUGGUCCGAUUUUUUAAUCGAUAAAAUGACCAAAAGCAGAUAAAGCAAAACCCUGGUGUAAUACUAUAAAUAUGUUUAUAUUUAUAGUUACAACUAUUACACACAAAGAUGUGUAUUUAUUUGCUGUUAACAUUUCUCGGGAUAGAAUAUUUGCCUGUCGUAGUGGUGAUGAAUGGUGCCAAAAAUUGAAUAGCUUUGAGAUGUAUAUCUCAUAUAUCCAUUUAUUUGAAUAGAUAGGCUAUUUUAACGGGAAACUAGCAACUGAGACCAAAAAGUUUGUCUUAAUUGCAAAAUAAAUUGAAUCCAAAAUAACCCUGAAGGCGUUUAUAUGUAUCCGAUACUUUUACUUCACAAAGUAUUUUAGAAUAAACGCGUUUUGUAUCUGUAUUCCUCAGUGAAAACAACUGUUUUUGUUACAUGUUAUGUUUCCAUGUUUCUAAUUUGCUCAUAAAAACUUAUUUUAUCCUUUGAUAUUAAAGUCAUCCAUUUAAAAAAUCCAA